rnacentral:snRNA from 1 species
GUGCUUGCUUUGGCAGCACAUAUACUAAAAUUGGAAAGAUACAGAGAAGAUUAACAUGGUGCCUGCUCAAGGAUGACAUGCAAAUUCGUGAAUUGUUCUAUAGUUUU